GACGAACGCUGGCGGCGUGCUUAACACAUGCAAGUCGAACGGAAAGGCCCUGCUUGUGUGGGGUGCUCGAGUGGCGAACGGGUGAGUAACACGGGAGUAACCUGCCCUUGACUUUGGGAUAACUUCAGGAAACUGGGGCUAAUACCGGAUAGGAGCUCCUGCUGCAUGGUGGGGGUUGGAAAGUUUCGGCGGUUGGGGGUGGACUCGCGGCUUAUCAGCUUGUUGGUGGGGUAGUGGCUUACCAAGGCUUUGACGGGUAGCCGGCCUGAGAGGGUGACCGGCCACAUUGGGACUGAGAUACGGCCCAGACUCCUCCGGGAGGCAGCAGUGGGGAAUAUUGCACAAUGGGCGGAAGCCUGAUGCAGCAACGCCGCGUGCGGGAUGACGGCCUUCGGGUUGUAAACCGCUUUCGCCUGUGACGAAGCGUGAGUGACGGUAAUGGGUAAAGAAGCACCGGCUAACUACGUG
rnacentral:rRNA from 1 species